UGGGGUGUCGCCAAGCGGUAAGGCAGUGGACUUUGACUCCACCAUACGUAGGUUCGAAUCCUGCCACCCCAG
rnacentral:tRNA from 1 species